GUGCUCCUUUCAGCAGUACUUAUACUAAAGUUAAACCAACACAGAGAGUAGCAUGGCCCCUGUGCAGGAUGACAUGCAAAUUCAUGAAGCUUUCCAUUAAAAA
ensembl:snRNA U6 U6 spliceosomal RNA